CAGGCGGAACCCACCAAGGCGUAUGGUGCCAGGUUGGGAAUUGGGAGACAUGGAGCUAGCAUGCCUGGGGCUAGCAGGCCGGGAAUCAGGUUUGACCUCAAAGCUGCCAAAAAAGUCCUCCACCCACUCGGGUAGCAACUCCCUCAACCAGGGCCUUGAGGUUACCUCCUGGCGUGCCGCAGAAAAAACGGACUGCCUCUCUUCACUACUGGAGGCAUAUUUAAAGUCAUUCCUCAAACAUGUCAAAUUGUACACUAUAAAAAAGGAUUUUGGAGGGUAGUAUAUAUUAUCCAAGCAAAUCAUUUAAAUUGUACUCAAGGUAUAUAAGUGAGCAUUGUUAGUAUAUUUGAAUGGGUAAAUUAUACCUACACUACCUAAUUUCUGACAGUACCAACUGAAACACAAACAAUCUGGGUAAAAUCUACUUGAAGACAUUAGGCCCACACUGCCCCUUUGCGCAUGCGUCUGCGGUGAUUCUUGGCUGCAGGCCAGAGGAACGGUUCUCUUUCGCGCCUCCCUCCUCCUGGUGUGUGGAAAUGUUGGAAGACAAUUCGUAGUGGAGUGGAGGUGGUGACCCUCAGCCCACGUGUCAGUGUCUUCAAGGAGAGAUGGCCUGGUUUAUUCAAUGAGGCUAAGGAGGAGUUCCGACACAUAACAACUCUUUCACUGGAAGAGACUUUGAUGCUGAAACUGGAUGGGUACACUAACACCACUCGCUCCAGCUGAUGCGUGCCAAAGGAGGAGAUGCUGGCUCCAGGAUGCGCCCUCUUCUGAGCACAAUUGAUGAGGCCCAGAGUGUUGG